rnacentral:snRNA from 1 species
ACUCAUACCUUGCAAGGGAAGUACCAUGUCAUAAAAGUGUUUUUUCUAAGGGGAGGCUUAUUCAUUGCACUUUGGGUGUGCUGCUGAUCCCUGUGAUUUUCCUAAAUGUGGGAAACUCAUCUGCAUACUUUGUGUUAAUGGGAGAUUAAAUUUAUGAUUAAUCUUGUU